CGGGUGAGUAACACGUGGAUAACCUACCUAUAAGACUGGGAUAACUUCGGGAAACCGGAGCUAAUACCGGAUAAUAUAUUGAACCGCAUGGUUCAAUAGCGAAAGACGGUUUUGCUGUCACUUAUAGAUGGAUCCGCGCUGCAUUAGCUAGUUGGUAAGGUAACGGCUUACCAAGGCAACGAUGCGUAGCCGACCUGAGAGGGUGAUCGGCCACACUGGAACUGAGACACGGUCCAGACUCCUACGGGAGGCAGCAGCG
rnacentral:rRNA from 1 species